AUGCCGUGAUGAGGACACUUUGUCAACAGUUCCUUAAACCUCUCCGAAGAGUCAUGUAAAGACUCCCCUUCAAGCUGGUGAAAAUUAUUGAUCUCUCUCCUAAAUUU